UCCAUGCUCCGAUGUAAUGUGCCCAACCAUGUCCAUAGAUAUCGUUAGGCCACAAACAGGACACAUCUGAAAAAACAAAAAAAAAAAGGAGUAAAGUAUUCAUCGUCAGGGAUUGCAAAGCAACAUCAUGGAUCAAUACUAGAAGUCUAGAAUCAAGGAGCUUGGUUGCACUACAACUCAUGUUAACAAAAUCGAGGUCCACAGAUACGAAAACUAAUCUUUUCG
rnacentral:lncRNA from 1 species